AUUGAGGCAGUCAAAGUAGGCAAAUCCGCUUUGAUAAUGCUGGGAUGUGAUGGGGAGCGAAAUUUAGUAGCGAAGUAGCUGAUUUCACACUGUCAAGAAAAGUCUCUAUCGAGGUUAAAGGUACCCGGACCGCAAACCGACACAGGUGGGUGAGGAGAGUAUCCUAAGGCCAGCGAGAGAACUGUUGUUAAGGAACUCGGCAAAAUGACCCCGUAACUUAGGGAUAAGGGGUGCCACCAU
rnacentral:rRNA from 1 species